AGUUUCUUUGCAUUGAUUUAAUACAUGAUCUUUUAGCUCACAAAAGUUUCUCAUUAUCCAUCUUCUGAAGUCUAAUUCCGUCAUUUCGUCACAGUCAUUCUCCGUCCAGCUUUGCUCCCUUGCUGGUGAGGAGUUUUGGUCCUUUCUAGGAGGCGAGGUGUUCUGGUUUCGGGUGUUUUCCUCCUUUUUGCGCUGGUUUCUUCCCAUCUUUGUGGAUUUGUCCGCUGGUCGUCUGCGUAGUUGCUGACUUUUCGUUUGGGUCUCUGAGUGGACACCCAGAAUGCUGAUGAUGAAGUAUUUCUGUUGCUUGGUUUUCCUUCUACCAGUCUAGCCCCUUCGCUGUACGACUGCUGAGGUCCGCUCCAGACCCUGCUUGUCUGGGGUGCACCUCUAGUAGCUGUGGCACAGCGAGGGAUGCUACCAGUUUCUUUUUCUGCUCUCUUUGUCCCAGGAUGAUGCCUGCCUAAUGUCAGUCUUUUGGAUAUAGAGGGGUCAGGGAGCUGCUUGAGGAGACAGUUUGUACUUUAUAGGGGUUUAAUUGCUGAGCUGUGCACUCUGUUGUUCAUUCAGGGCUGUUAUGCUGCUAUGUUUGAUUCUGCUGCAACAGAGCUCAUUAAAAAACCCUUUUUUUUUUUUUUCUCAAAUGCUCUGUGUUGAGGGGUUUGGGCUUUAUUUUUCGAUGUCCGAUCAGGUGUCCUGCCCAGCUAGAAGGCGGACUAGCCACUGUUUGGCUGCCGAGGCUCCGCCCUGCUGUUGUGUGAUUCGCGCUGUUCCUGCCGGCUCUGCUGUGGUCUCCGCCACGCCCUGCGGCGGAGUCUCUUCGUUGUAGCGUGUUGCCUCAGCAACGGCAGGCUGCGUCAGCAGUGGGCGUGUAUCUCAGUAGGGACAGGUUGCCUCGGCAACGGCUGGCUGCGUCAGCAAUGGGCGUGUAUCUCAGUUGGGGCGGGUUGCCUCGGUAGUGGUGGACGCCCCUCCCCCACAGAGCGUCUCAGACCGUCUGCUCGGGAUAGUUUGAAAUCGCGGUUUUUUUCAUCCCACUGGGUAUCCCAAUCCCUGCAAUCCCCUGGGCUGGCCUACUGUCCAAGUCUCAUUCAGUCUCAAGUCCAGCCCUCUCAAGUCUCAGGUUGCCGGUUCAACAGGGCACCCGGACAAGCGCGCCCUGUGGGGAUUGCUGGGUAGGGCCGGCCGCCACCGCCCCGGCUGCCGGCUUCGCCAGGCAAACCUACUGCCUGGCGUCCCGUGUCUUUUUUAUACUUGGGAGUUUCCCCGUUCUGUGGGCAACAAAGAUCAGUCUGGAAAUGCCACUCUGACUCACCGUUUACGGAUUCAACGAGAAGAGCUCCAAUCCUGGGUUAUUCUCACAGCGCCAUCUUGAGUCCCUCUGCUAAUCAUCUUAAAGUAGCUGUUAGUAAUAAUAAAAAGUGUACCCUGUAUUCGUAGUUCUUUCACUUUAACCUAGAUAUUUACCCUGACAUGCCUGGACAAGCCCAGGCAAGUCUUAGGUCAUAGCUUAUUCCCCUUCUUUAUUUGGAAACGUUGCUUCUCUAAACAUUCCUCAGGUCACUCCCUCUUUGCCUUUGUUCUCCUCUGCGUUUACCCCUUUAGGAAAGUUUUUAGUUGCUAGGCAAUGGGGUGCUGCCUAGACUAUGAAGUCCAGUUCCAGCCAGUGGAAUCAGAACACAGCAGUAGGGUGGAUACGUUAGAUAUAAAUGGCCCUGCCUCCUUUGUUCGGUGUCCUCUCGUGGCAAGAUGGCUAAUAGGGACACCCUUUCUGCAGAAAGUAAAGUUGCCUUGCUGAGAAAAAUUAAAUUUAUAUUUGCGUGCUACUUCUUUUGUAGCACCGAAAAUUUACAUAACAACAAUAUGGGGGUUCAUCUGGGAUUGCCAUUCCCCUCUGGGUGGUCUCCGGUCCUCUCUCGAGAGGAGGUGCCCCACUGCCUCUUUGCGGCAGCCUCGGGGGUAGAGAUCUGGGACCCACCUGGUGUGAGGAGUAUACCUGGAUUCUCGGGAACACAGGGAAAAGAGACUCCAAACCGCAGCAACCAGGGGCCUCGACCAGCCAACCUCGUGCAUUAGCCAAGGUCGGAAAUGUUGCCAAGGGGCAACAAAGUACCUUCUUGGUGGUCAACUUCCGAAGAGUUGAAUGUGUGUGUGUGAAUGCGGUAUUUUUUGUGUGAAUGGUGACAGGUUCUACUUCUGGACGGAACUUCAGGCAGUUCUAUGGCUACCUCAUAUAGCUUUGGACACAUCCUGCCGUGGGAAUUAUGCCGUCACGCUGAAGCUAAGAGAGCCCUAAAUCUCCUUUGGGGGAGCGGUCAAGUGGGAUGGUACAAAUGACAAGAGCGCAGGGGACCUAUAGAAGGGGGAAGGGAAAAUACAGGUCAACCACCUAGGGCUCCCCCAGGUGCUCUGUCACGGGGAGUCGGGGCUUUAUUUAUAAGUUUCUGUCAUGCCGCUGCCUUUUUUCAGGGCUGCCCUGCCCAGCGAGGAGACAGCCUAGUCACAGUCUGCCUGCAGAGGCUUUGCUGAGCUGCUGUGGGCUCCGCCCAACUGCCGUGUAAUCUUCCCUGCAGCCCUGUCUAUAGGGGUAUAGUUAGAACCGCCUCGGCAAUUGCGGGCCGUCUCUGUAAUGGCGGGCUGCCUCGGCAAUGGCGGGCUGCCUCAGCAACGGCAGACACUACCUCGGUAGUGGUAGACUGCCUCGGUAAUGGUGAACACCCCUCUCCCACAGAGCUGGACCUUCCGGGUUUCAGAUGUGCUUGCUGUGAAACACUCAAUCCAGAGCGUAUCAGAUUGCUCUUUUUUGUGGGGGUGGAACCAGCCGAGCCUGAUCACCUGGCUCCCUGCCUCAGACCCCCGCCUUUUCUUUUUUUUCAGCUGAACGGGUGACUGUCUCCCAGGCGUCCCAGUCACCAGUUGAAACGGCGCCCGGAUUUGUUUGAUUUCUUGUGCGUAGAUGCGCUGCGCCGGCUGAAACAGCCACUGGAGACUUGUGGCGUGUUUUCAACAGGGAAUCCCCUGGCCUAGCUCCCCGUUUCAGUCCCCCGUUCUUCAGUUGAUCGGGCAACUCUGUCUUCGAGGUGUUCUAGUCGCCAGUUGAAACGGCGCCCGGAUUUGUGUGCGAUUUUGUGCAGAGAACCGUUGGGCCAGCUGAAACAGCCUCACUGGGGGCUCGUGGUGCUUUUUCGCCCGGGAAUCUCCUGGCCUGGCUGCCUGUUUCAGUCCCUUUUUUCAGUUGAACGGGCAACUCUAUCUCCCAGGCUUUCCAGUCGCCCGUUGUGAAGGUGCCUGGAUCUGUGUGUUUUCCCGAGCGGCGACCCCCAGCACCGGGUGAAACAGCCACACUGGCGAUUUGUGGCACUUUUUCUCCCGGGAAUCUCCUGGCCUGGCUCCACGUUUCAGUCCCCUUUUAGUCAGUUGAAUGGGCGACUGUCUCCCAGGCGUUCCAGUCGCCUGUUGAAAAGGCGCCGGGAUCUGUGUGAUUUCCCAUGCAGCAACCCACUGCGCUAGCUGAAACAGCCGCACAGAGAUUGUUUUCACUUUUUUGCCCGGGAAUCUCCUGGCCUGGCUCCCUGUUUCAGUCCCCUUUUUAUCAGUUGAAUGGGCGACUCUGCCUUUCAGGAGCUCCAAUCACCAGCUAAGACGGCGCCCGGACCAAUGUAUUUUGUGCAGAGAUCCGCCACGCCAGCCAAAACAGCCAUGCUGGCAACCCGUGGGGCUCCUCUGCCUGGAAAUCUCCUGGUCUGUGGGCAGUAAAAAUCCAUGUGGAAAUGCAGUGUCCACUCACCCGCCGCGCUUUUGCUGUAAGCUGCAGUCCUGAGCUGCUCCUAAUCAGCCAUCUUGGAUCCUCCCCGAGCCUUCUUUACAAUGUACUCAGCAAUGGCAAGUUUCAAAAUGUUGUUAUUGUCUUUUGGAGUUACUGCUUUGCCUUUCUUUACCUGAGAUAGUUAAGUGUGCUUGCCAUUAGAGAAUUGCUGGAGCAGUAAUCGACACUUGAGAUUUUGCAAGGGUUCCCAAGUAUUUGUAGAACCUGGCCAUCCUUUCCAUUUUACAAGAUAACGUUGUAUAUCCUUUACUACCUUGUAGUCACACAAGUAUUUCACCUCAUAAUCGUUUAGAUUCCUUUUGGUGAUUCCAAUCAAUGUACAUGUGAGCUUUCCUUUUCUACAUAAUUCCUGAAGAGUAUCAAGCGACACUAGUCAAGGCAUACACGAAGCUCCUUGUGCCUCAGCCCCAGCUGCUGCCAUGUUGUGGAGCUUUCGUUCAAACUCAAGCCUGGAAACUAAUUGAUAGGCUGUAAUACUCUGUUUUUAAUUAUUCCAGUUAAACUUGUUCACUUGACUUAGAACUUUCCUGCUUAUACACAUCAAGUAAGAAUUUAGCAGGCUUCUUGUUUCACUUCUAGGAACCUAUGAUCAACUAGCCAUUGCCAUAGGUCCCAUAGGUCUGUGUGAGUCAGACUAUUCUGAUUGCUGCCUGGACUCUGCUGUCCAUUACAGUAACCAUGUUCAUUUUGCCUUUGGCUGAUGAUUGCCAUUUCUUGGCCUCUGACACCCCAGGAUCCAGUUACUCCCAUUGCAUUUAGGUUAAUCCCCUGGGAAGAGGGUGAAGAGGCCACUUCUGCUAGGGUUGGGGAGGCUGCUUCCACUGGUAGAAAAGAUUCAUUAAAAUUACACUUGAUCUUAGUCAAAAGGCAGAAAAGCGAUGAAAAGAUUCAUUAAAUUUAGGGGUUCAAUGUCCCCCACUUCCCUAGGGUGUUCCCAUAUAUCCCAUUCCAACUCUGGAUCUCAUUCCUUCCCAACCAAUGCCCUGUCUUUGCAGUAGACAUCCUGUGAGGCUGGGAGUUCAACUUGCAUUUUUUUUUUUUUUUUGAAACAGGGUCUCUGGUUGCCCAGACUGGAGUGUAAUGGCAUGAUCUCAGCUCACUGCAGCCUCAACCUCCCAGGCUCAGGUGUUUCUCCCACUUCAGCCUCCCAAAUAACUGGGAUUCCAGGUGCACACCACCACGUCCAGCUAAUUUUUUGUAUAUUUAGUAGAAACAGUGUUUCACUGUGUUGCCCAGGCUGGUCUUGAACUCCUGGACUCAUGCAUUCCACCCACCUCAGCCUCUGAGAUUGCUGGGAUUACAGGCCUGAGCCACUCAGCCUGGCCUCAACUUGCAUUUUAAUUCAGCCGAUUGAGGGAUGAGAUUCUGUGUUCGAGUUUUAACAAUCUCAGCCCUGUAAGAGAUAAGGUUCUCCUUCAGGACGUACGUAGACACUUUCAGAUUAUUUAUGCAGUGCUCGAGCUGGAAAUUCAGUUCCCUGAGAUCAUCCUUUUCUUUCCCUACUUCAUCCAGUGACGUUUGGAGCAGCCAUCCAAUCUCAUUGUAUUUAUUAGUUUGACAGAAAUGUUCAAAUCAUACAUAUGCAGGUCCUUGUGUCUCGCAAGUCGUAGAUUAGGAGUGUCCCAUGGUGACAUUUCGUGGAUCUCAAUUGCCAGUUCAUGCCAUGAACGAACCAGUAACCAAUAGGAUGUCUAUAUCUAUGGAUAGAGAUUGGUUUAUUAUAAAGAAUUAGCUCAUGCAAUUAUGGAGACUGACAAGCCCCAAGAUCCGCAAGGUGAUUCAGCAAAGUGGAGACGUAGAGAGUCGGUGGUGUAGCUCCGGUCCAAAGGCCAGCUUGAGGCCUGGGAAGAGCCAGUGUUUCAGUGCAAGUGUUAAGGUAGGGAAAAGCUAAUGUUGCAGUUUAAAUGCAAUCAGGAAGAAAGAGUCCUUCCUUACUGAGGGGAGGGUUAGUCUUUUUAUCUAUGCAGGCCUUCAGCUGGUUGGAUAGGACCCACCCAUAUCAUGGAGGACAAUCUGCUUUUCUCAGCCUACAAAUUUAAAUGUUAAUUUAGCUAACAUUUAAAUUCCAUCCAGAGAUGGAGUCCGCACGGGUAAGGGGCAGGGAGACUUUUAAUUUGGGAGUUACUCCCGCCCCAUUCAAGUUCUUGUCCCGUGAGAGGAGUUUCCUCAAACUUCCUCUGGAGUGAUUGAUCUUUGACUUUGGUACCUGAUUGGCUGCCCGGCUCGCAAUAGAGCCCCUCCUUCCAAGGCUUUUGGUGGGCUUUCUAAACGUAGGAAGCUCACCUGGGUGGUCCACCUUUCCCACGCACACAAAAGUUAGACCAAGAACUCUAGUUCCCGGAUGGGGAGGUGAGUGGAGGUAUGGCGCUGGGAAGUUCUUGCCUUUGAAACCAUGCCCCUUGUGGACCCGGGAAGAGAAGUUAACACAGUACUUCAGUAGCAUGCCUGUAGCAGAAGCUACUUGGGAGGCUGAGAUGGGAGGAUCAGUGUAGGAAAUAAGAAUAAAUAAAAGGUUCCUCUUCAAAGAUUUCCUCUUAGUUCAUUAUGAAUAAAUAAUGGUUUCUUCAAAGGUUAAUUUACUUUAAAGCUUCUGCUAAUAAUCUUAAAGUAGCUGUUAGUCAUAAUAAAAAGUGUACCCUGUAUUCGUAGUUCUUUCACUUUAACCUAGAUAUUUGCCCUGACAUGCCUGGACAAGCCCAGGCAAGUCUUAGGUCAUAGCUUAUUCCCCUUCUUUAUUUGGAAACGUUGCUUCUCUAAACAUUCCUCAGGUCACUCCCUCUUUGCCUUUGUUCUCCUCUGCGUUUACCCCUUUAGGAAAGUUUUUAGUUGCUAGGCAAUGGGGUGCUGCCUAGACUAUGAAGUCCAGUUCCAGCCAGUGGAAUCAGAACACAGCAGUAGGGUGGAUACGUUAGAUAUAAAUGGCCCUGCCUCCUUUGUUCGGUGUCCUCUCGUGGCAAGAUGGCUAAUAGGGACACCCUUUCUGCAGAAAGUAAAGUUGCCUUGCUGAGAAAAAUUAAAUUUAUAUUUGCGUGCUACUUCUUUUGUAGCACCGAAAAUUUACAUAACAACAAUAUGGGGGUUCAUCUGGGAUUGCCAUUCCCCUCUGGGUGGUCUCCGGUCCUCUCUCGAGAGGAGGUGCCCCACUGCCUCUUUGCGGCAGCCUCGGGGGUAGAGAUCUGGGACCCACCUGGUGUGAGGAGUAUACCUGGAUUCUCGGGAACACAGGGAAAAGAGACUCCAAACCGCAGCAACCAGGGGCCUCGACCAGCCAACCUCGUGCAUUAGCCAAGGUCGGAAAUGUUGCCAAGGGGCAACAAAGUACCUUCUUGGUGGUCAACUUCCGAAGAGUUGAAUGUGUGUGUGUGAAUGCGGUAUUUUUUGUGUGAAUGGUGACAGGUUCUACUUCUGGACGGAACUUCAGGCAGUUCUAUGGCUACCUCAUAUAGCUUUGGACACAUCCUGCCGUGGGAAUUAUGCCGUCACGCUGAAGCUAAGAGAGCCCUAAAUCUCCUUUGGGGGAGCGGUCAAGUGGGAUGGUACAAAUGACAAGAGCGCAGGGGACCUAUAGAAGGGGGAAGGGAAAAUACAGGUCAACCACCUAGGGCUCCCCCAGGUGCUCUGUCACGGGGAGUCGGGGCUUUAUUUAUAAGUUUCUGUCAUGCCGCUGCCUUUUUUCAGGGCUGCCCUGCCCAGCGAGGAGACAGCCUAGUCACAGUCUGCCUGCAGAGGCUUUGCUGAGCUGCUGUGGGCUCCGCCCAACUGCCGUGUAAUCUUCCCUGCAGCCCUGUCUAUAGGGGUAUAGUUAGAACCGCCUCGGCAAUUGCGGGCCGUCUCUGUAAUGGCGGGCUGCCUCGGCAAUGGCGGGCUGCCUCAGCAACGGCAGACACUACCUCGGUAGUGGUAGACUGCCUCGGUAAUGGUGAACACCCCUCUCCCACAGAGCUGGACCUUCCGGGUUUCAGAUGUGCUUGCUGUGAAACACUCAAUCCAGAGCGUAUCAGAUUGCUCUUUUUUGUGGGGGUGGAACCAGCCGAGCCUGAUCACCUGGCUCCCUGCCUCAGACCCCCGCCUUUUCUUUUUUUUCAGCUGAACGGGUGACUGUCUCCCAGGCGUCCCAGUCACCAGUUGAAACGGCGCCCGGAUUUGUUUGAUUUCUUGUGCGUAGAUGCGCUGCGCCGGCUGAAACAGCCACUGGAGACUUGUGGCGUGUUUUCAACAGGGAAUCCCCUGGCCUAGCUCCCCGUUUCAGUCCCCCGUUCUUCAGUUGAUCGGGCAACUCUGUCUUCGAGGUGUUCUAGUCGCCAGUUGAAACGGCGCCCGGAUUUGUGUGCGAUUUUGUGCAGAGAACCGUUGGGCCAGCUGAAACAGCCUCACUGGGGGCUCGUGGUGCUUUUUCGCCCGGGAAUCUCCUGGCCUGGCUGCCUGUUUCAGUCCCUUUUUUCAGUUGAACGGGCAACUCUAUCUCCCAGGCUUUCCAGUCGCCCGUUGUGAAGGUGCCUGGAUCUGUGUGUUUUCCCGAGCGGCGACCCCCAGCACCGGGUGAAACAGCCACACUGGCGAUUUGUGGCACUUUUUCUCCCGGGAAUCUCCUGGCCUGGCUCCACGUUUCAGUCCCCUUUUAGUCAGUUGAAUGGGCGACUGUCUCCCAGGCGUUCCAGUCGCCUGUUGAAAAGGCGCCGGGAUCUGUGUGAUUUCCCGUGCAGCAACCCACUGCGCUAGCUGAAACAGCCGCACAGAGAUUGUUUUCACUUUUUUGCCCGGGAAUCUCCUGGCCUGGCUCCCUGUUUCAGUCCCCUUUUUAUCAGUUGAAUGGGCGACUCUGCCUUUCAGGAGCUCCAAUCACCAGCUAAGACGGCGCCCGGACCAAUGUAUUUUGUGCAGAGAUCCGCCACGCCAGCCAAAACAGCCAUGCUGGCAACCCGUGGGGCUCCUCUGCCUGGAAAUCUCCUGGUCUGUGGGCAGUAAAAAUCCAUGUGGAAAUGCAGUGUCCACUCACCCGCCGCGCUUUUGCUGUAAGCUGCAGUCCUGAGCUGCUCCUAAUCAGCCAUCUUGGAUCCUCCCCGAGCCUUCUUUACAAUGUACUCAGCAAUGGCAAGUUUCAAAAUGUUGUUAUUGUCUUUUGGAGUUACUGCUUUGCCUUUCUUUACCUGAGAUAGUUAAGUGUGCUUGCCAUUAGAGAAUUGCUGGAGCAGUAAUCGACACUUGAGAUUUUGCAAGGGUUCCCAAGUAUUUGUAGAACCUGGCCAUCCUUUCCAUUUUACAAGAUAACGUUGUAUAUCCUUUACUACCUUGUAGUCACACAAGUAUUUCACCUCAUAAUCGUUUAGAUUCCUUUUGGUGAUUCCAAUCAAUGUACAUGUGAGCUUUCCUUUUCUACAUAAUUCCUGAAGAGUAUCAAGCGACACUAGUCAAGGCAUACACGAAGCUCCUUGUGCCUCAGCCCCAGCUGCUGCCAUGUUGUGGAGCUUUCGUUCAAACUCAAGCCUGGAAACUAAUUGAUAGGCUGUAAUACUCUGUUUUUAAUUAUUCCAGUUAAACUUGUUCACUUGACUUAGAACUUUCCUGCUUAUACACAUCAAGUAAGAAUUUAGCAGGCUUCUUGUUUCACUUCUAGGAACCUAUGAUCAACUAGCCAUUGCCAUAGGUCCCAUAGGUCUGUGUGAGUCAGACUAUUCUGAUUGCUGCCUGGACUCUGCUGUCCAUUACAGUAACCAUGUUCAUUUUGCCUUUGGCUGAUGAUUGCCAUUUCUUGGCCUCUGACACCCCAGGAUCCAGUUACUCCCAUUGCAUUUAGGUUAAUCCCCUGGGAAGAGGGUGAAGAGGCCACUUCUGCUAGGGUUGGGGAGGCUGCUUCCACUGGUAGAAAAGAUUCAUUAAAAUUACACUUGAUCUUAGUCAAAAGGCAGAAAAGCGAUGAAAAGAUUCAUUAAAAUUUAGGGGUUCAAUGUCCCCCACUUCCUUAGGGUGUUCCCAUAUAUCCCAUUCCAACUCUGGAUCUCAUUCCUUCCCAACCAAUGCCCUGUCUUUGCAGUAGACAUCCUGUGAAGCUGGGAGUUCAACUUGCAUUUUUUUUUUUUUUUGAAACAGGGUCUCUGGUUGCCCAGACUGGAGUGUAAUGGCAUGAUCUCAGCUCACUGCAGCCUCAACCUCCCAGGCUCAGGUGUUUCUCCCACUUCAGCCUCCCAAAUAACUGGGAUUCCAGGUGCACACCACCACGUCCAGCUAAUUUUUUGUAUAUUUAGUAGAAACAGUGUUUCACUGUGUUGCCCAGGCUGGUCUUGAACUCCUGGACUCAUGCAUUCCACCCACCUCAGCCUCUGAGAUUGCUGGGAUUACAGGCCUGAGCCACUCAGCCUGGCCUCAACUUGCAUUUUAAUUCAGCCGAUUGAGGGAUGAGAUUCUGUGUUCGAGUUUUAACAAUCUCAGCCCUGUAAGAGAUAAGGUUCUCCUUCAGGACGUACAUAGACACUUUCAGAUUAUUUAUGCAGUGCUCGAGCUGGAAAUUCAGUUCCCUGAGAUCAUCCUUUUCUUUCCCUACUUCAUCCAGUGACGUUUGGAGCAGCCAUCCAAUCUCAUUGUAUUUAUUAGUUUGACAGAAAUGUUCAAAUCAUACAUAUGCAGGUCCUUGUGUCUCGCAAGUCGUAGAUUAGGAGUGUCCCAUGGUGACAUUUCGUGGAUCUCAAUUGCCAGUUCAUGCCAUGAACGAACCAGUAACCAAUAGGAUGUCUAUAUCUAUGGAUAGAGAUUGGUUUAUUAUAAAGAAUUAGCUCAUGCAAUUAUGGAGACUGACAAGCCCCAAGAUCCGCAAGGUGAUUCAGCAAAGUGGAGACGUAGAGAGUCGGUGGUGUAGCUCCAGUCCAAAGGCCAGCUUGAGGCCUGGGAAGAGCCAGUGUUUCAGUGCAAGUGUUAAGGUAGGGAAAAGCUAAUGUUGCAGUUUAAAUGCAAUCAGGAAGAAAGAGUCCUUCCUUACUGAGGGGAGGGUUAGUCUUUUUAUCUAUGCAGGCCUUCAGCUGGUUGGAUAGGACCCACCCAUAUCAUGGAGGACAAUCUGCUUUUCUCAGCCUACAAAUUUAAAUGUUAAUUUAGCUAACAUUUAAAUUCCACCCAGAGAUGGAGUCUGCACAGGUAAGGGGCAGGGAGACUUUUAAUUUGGGAGUUACUCCCGCCCCAUUCAAGUUCUUGUCCCGUGAGAGGAGUUUCCUCAAACUUCCUCUGGAGUGAUUGACCUCUGACUUUGGUACCUGAUUGGCUGCCCGGCUCGCAAUAGAGCCCCUCCUUCCAAGGCUUUUGGUGGGCUUUCUAAACGUAGGAAGCUCACCUGGGUGGUCCACCUUUCCCACGCACACAAAAGUUAGACCAAGAACUCUAGUUCCCGGAUGGGGAGGUGAGUGGAGGUAUGGCGCUGGGAAGUUCUUGCCUUUGAAACCAUGCCCCUUGUGGACCCGGGAAGAGAAGUUAACACAGUACCUCAGUAGCAUGCCUGUAGCAGAAGCUACUUGGGAGGCUGAGAUGGGAGGAUCAGUGUAGGAAAUAAGAAUAAAUAAAAGGUUCCUCUUCAAAGAUUUCCUCUUAGUUCAUUAUGAAUAAAUAAUGGUUUCUUCAAAUGUUAAUUUACUUUAAAGCGUUUGCUUAUAAUCUUAAAGUAGCUAUUAUUCUUAAAGAAAAAAAGUGUACUCUGUCUUUUUGUGUAGCAGGAGCAGCCGUGGGACAGGGAUCUCUCGGACACUGAAUUCAGGAAGAAGGUUUAUUCAGCUGGGAGCAAUGUGGCAUAGUUGCCUAACAGCCAAACCUGUCUAACAAAUUCAGGUUCAGCAUUUAUAUAGGCUUAUACUUUAGAUGUUACACAUCGAAGAGUCUUUGGUUCAUAGUUUUAGGCUCACAUGUGAAAAAGUUUUUGUUUACAGUUAUAGGACUCACAUGUGAAAAGUUUUCUGUUUACAGUCCAGGAAUCACAUAUGCAAGGGUUCCAGUUCACAGUUUUAUGACUUACAUGUGAAAAGGUUUCUUGUUUUUUCUUGUUUUAAUUAAAAAUAAUGCCUCCUGGAGAGUUUCCUCAAGGCCUAGCCUUUCGUUUUCAGGUUGGAGAUUCAGGAGGCGCCAGCUGGCCUGCGCUCUUUUUUAUUUAGAUGCACAGUGGAUUACAGAGCGGAGGGAAUCCCAAAUGCCUGGGUCUUCCUCAUCCCCCACUUUGAGACCCUCACAAUUUUAUAAUAUUAGUGAGAGGUCUCACUUUCUUGCUCACUUUCCAGAUUUUCUGAAGAAACUGAUAAUGUUUCAUAUAAUAUACUUGUGAUGUUAUUCUCGGCUAACUCCAGCAGUGAUGAAUCCCCUAAUGAUCUGAAGGAACAGGGGGAGUAGACAAGGGAGCAACAAACAAACACCUAUUAUUAUUAUAACACUGAUGAUGAGGGUUUUGAAUCCUCCCAAGCAUGAGAACCAACCUCCAAAUAAGGACUCAGGGUUAAAUCCGUGCCACACCUUUACAGGCACGUGUGCCAGUUUAGUCAUGUCUCGCACAAUAUCCUCCACUGUUUGCUCCUGGUCAUCUAUGUGCAGACAGCAGUUGGUUAGAUUGAAUUUUCCAUAGACUCCUCCUUCAGCUGCUAGCAAAUAAUCUAGGGCCAGCCAGUUCUGAUAAAUCACAUUUCUCAUUUGAGUUUUUUGUUGUUGUUAUUGGGCUAAAAGGGACAGAGCUUUGCCCGUUUCCUUAGUGAGUAUUUCCAAAACAACCUGCAACUGGAUGAUCCGGUCGAGCAUGUAAAUAGGGGUCUGGUAUCCCCAUGAGCUAUCCUCUGCCCAUGUAGCCGGCCCAUAAUACUUAAUAGUUUUCUCCAGUGGCUACUUAUCUGUCCGUUCUCCUAUCUUUAGGUUUCUUUUGCUCUCUAGCGGAGUAGACUGAAUACAUUAACAGCCCACCUGUCUUAACAGAUAACAGGAAAGAAGAGGGCUUAAUGAUGCCUAUGACACAGCUGCCUGUCCAUCUCAUGGAUUACACACCUUAUAUUGAGUACCGUUAUAUAAACAGGUUCCCUUCUGUGUCCCUGUACAUUUUAAGAACUGUAGGACAAAAGAAUGGCAGUGACUUUUAUGCUCUACCUGGUGUACAUACUGAGGGCAUUCUUUAAAAUUAGUUAAUGCUCCUACUGUACAAGUCCAAAUAUAAAGAACAAGUCCCACAAUUAAUUUCCUCAUGCUUCGGCCAUGUGUGGACCAGCCAGCUUCCGGGAUGUGGCUGGAGCAAGGCUUGUCAUCCUUUGUAAGGUGAUUCUGCAGUCCUUGCCUUGGUCCAAGUCUCAGGUUUUUACACAGCUGUGGUGGAUUCAGGCUGGGAUUCCCUCUACCUUCACAGCUGUGGGAUUGGUCAGGAUCAGGUCUGAGGUCCUUUCCAUUGUGGCUUUAGAGGGACUGUACUCCUGUCCUUUAUCCACACAUGAUUACCUAGUGAGAAAGGGUGAACUGGGGAGAAAAAGGCUUACAGAACAUUUGUUAUUUACUCAGGUUGAAGUAUCCUAAGAGAUUCUCCCUAGGGCUAGUAACUAGCAUCCUAACUCAAUCUCUCCUCACUCCCAAGGAGUUCCGUAGGAGUGCCCAGAGUAGGGGAGGGGGCCCAUGGUAUAAGACUUCAUAGGGAAAUAUCCUGUUUUUCCUAAAGGGGGUGCCUCUAAUUUUGAAUAACACCAAAAUGGGAUUUUUUGUUUAAUGGGAUAGUGGCCCUCGAUUUGCACAACAGGUUUUUGCCAGAGAAGUGGGGCAGGGACAAUUCAUUAAGUACAAGAAAGUCUGUUCUCUUAAUACCUUAAUUGAUUUAACAACACUGGCCUCGUUCCUUUCGAUGGGGGGUUACAGGGCUGUCGUUCGGACCAUGGGCUCUUUGGGGGCAUAUGAGUCCAGCUCCCCUCUCUUUUAGUUCAGUGGCCCUUCCAUUAGAUUGAACAGAGCCCCUUCACACUCUGUUUGGAUGAAGAUUUGGAUCCUCCUGCUUAGGAUCGUCCUGUUCCUCAGAUAAUUGUGGACAUUUUUUCUUCCAGCGUCCUAUUUCUCAACACAAUGCACACUGAUCACAUUGCAGGCCCGGGCGGGCAGACUGUGGGGGUUUCCAGGAACCCCCCUUUUUCCAUACUCUUGGGGGUUCUGGUAAUCUGCAGGAACAUGCUCCUCCAGCCAAUUAGAAGCGGCUUGGAGUAUUCUCCGCCUUUCGUCUGUGUUAAAAAGAUGCAUAAGCAGCUGAUGGCAAUCAGCCCAAAUGGGGUUAUGAAUCUGAAUAAUAGUUUGCAGUAUAUCAAUAAGAGCUUGGGGUUUCUCGGUAUUAGACGUGUUGUCAUUUUUCCAAUUGAUAAGAUCAGCCGAGGUUAACAGCAGGUACAUGAAAACACGCCUUUCUACCAUGUGGCCAUCCUCGUCCACUCCUGUGUACCUGUGCUCUCUCAAAGGCAUCUGCACCCCGGCCUUGGAUUGCAGACAGGCUGCCUGCCAGAGGGGGAGUUCCCUCUGGGAAGCGGGCAGCAAUGGGCGGAGUUUUUUUACAUUCUGUUUUAUCUGCUCUGGAGGAUUUUAGGGGUGUGCUGCUCUGGUGGGGAUGCUGAGGCCUCCGGCCCACGGGCAGGGAGUCCUUGAGGAGGAGGAGGCAUUAUCGACAAAAACUCUUCUGCCGCUGGGUUGACCAAAACCUUGGGAGCCAUUGUUUCUGCCACUGAAUCUGCCCGGGCCUUGGGAAUCCGCUUUUCUCAGCGGCAAGGGGGAUGGUGGUUUCUAGCAGUCUUUCCCUUGGCUACUAAAACAGUCGCUGCCUGCUCUCUUAGCCACUUUGGAGGGUUUAACACUAACUGCAACCACGAAUCUAUGUAUGGAAAUUGAUCGAGGUGUUCUAGCUCACCGUAUUUAACCUCAUGCCUUACUUUCGAGACAAGGGACCUGUCUAGGGUCCCCUCUGGGGGCCAACCUACUCUAAAUGGUGGCCAAUCUUUCCUACAUAAACCCUUAAUUUCUCUGAUGUCAUAGUUACUUCAUAAUUCCCACUAAAUCUUUUCUUGAAAUUUUUCAGCAUGGUUUCUAAAGGGGUGGAAUGGCUAUGGAAAUGACCCAUAUGAACACUUCAAAGAAACAAUUCUCACAGUUAGGGGAGUGUUAGUUCACUCACAGCAGUUCCCGUUCCCACCUAGCAAGGUCUCUGUUUACAGUUUCAGGAAUUACAUAUGAAAGGGUUCCAGUUUACAGUUUUAGGACUCACAUGUGAAAAGGUUUCUGGUUUGAUCUUGUUUUAAGUAAAAAUAGUGCCUUCUGGAGAGUUUCGUCAAGGCCUAGCCUGUUGUUUUCGGGAAGGAGAUUCAGGAGGUGCCAGCUGGCCUGCCCUCUCUUUUAUUGAGAUGCACAGUGGAUGACAGAGGGGGAGGGAAUCCCCGAUGCCUGGGUCUCCCUCCUCACUUAGUUCUUUCACUUUAACCUAGAUAUUUGCCCUGACAUGCCUGGACAAGCCCAGGCAAGUCUUAGGUCAUAGCUUAUUCCCCUUCUUUAUUUGGAAACAUUGCUUCUCUAAGCAUUCCUCAAGUUACUCCCUCUUUGCCUUUGUUCUCCUCUGCGUUUACCCCUUUAGGAAAGUUUUUAGUUGCUAGGCAACGGGGUGCUGCCUAGACUAUGAAGUCCAGUUCCAGCCAGUGGAAUCAGAACACAGCAGUAGGGUGGAUACGUUAGAUAUAAAUGGCCCUGCCUCCUUUGUUCCAUGUCCUCUCAUGGCAAGAUGGCUAAUAGGGACACCCUUUCUGCAGAAAGUAAAGUUGCCUUGCUGAGAAAAAUUAAAUUUAUAUUUGCGUGCUACUUCUUUUGUAGCACCGAAAAUUUACAUACAACAUGGGGGUUCAUCUGGGAUUGCCAUUCCCCUCUGGGUGGUCUCCAGUCCUCUCUCGAGAGGAGGUGCCCCACUGCCUCUUUGCGGCAGCCUCGGGGGUAGAGAUCUGGGACCCACCUGGUGUGAGGAGUAUACCUGGAUUCUCGGGAACACAGGGAAAAGAGACUCCAAACCGCAGCAACCAGGGGCCUCGACCAGCCAACCUCGUGCAUUAGCCAAGGUCGGAAAUGUUGCCGAGGGGCAACAAAGUACCUUCUUGGUGGUCAACUUCCAAAGGGUUGAAUGUGUGUGCAAAUUAGAUAUUGUUUGUGUGAAUGGUGACAAGUUCUACUUCUGGAUGGAAUGAGUGAAUCCUCUCUGCAGUUCUAUGGCUACCUCAUACAGCUUUGGACAGAUACUGCCAUGGGAAUUAUACCGUCAUGCUGACGCUAAGAGAGCCCUAAAUCUCCUUUGGGGUAGCGGCCAAGUGGGAUGGUAGAAAUGACAAGAGCACAAAGGACCUAUUGAAGGGGGAAGGGAGGAAACAGGUGAACCUCCUAGGGCAGUGAAGGCAAGAAAUUUCUAGCUUGAUGGGUUGAGUUUUCCAUAAAUGGAAUAGGUGGGAGAUUCCCAGCUUGGGUGGGUGUUGAGUCUUCUGUAAACAGAAUAGGUGAGAGAUUCUCAGCUUGGGGACUUGGGCCUUCUCUUAAUGGAAUAGGAAAGAGAUUUCCAGCUUGGGGGGUUGAGUCUUCAUAAAAAUGGAAUAGGCAAGAGAUUCCUAGCUUGUGGAGUUGUGUCUUCCAUAACAAAUGAUGAAAGUAUUGCUGUUUUAUUUGCACUAAAGAACCGAUCCUCAAGCCCACAGUUGUCUGUCCAAAAUUUGCGUUGGAUGAGGAUUAGUUCCAUCAACGCUUUAUAAUGUAUAUCAACAACAAAACUCUUUCUCACAAGAAGAAAUAGACUAUGCUCUCUGUUGGUGGCAGAGGCCAGUUCUCCUCUACCCAUUAAGAGGAGGAAGAAAAUAAAGUCAGGAGCAGGCUCACCUGAAAAGGGUGGAGUUUUACCUGUGAGCAGUUCAUGUAAAUGGGACCUUUUAGACCAUCUUCCCUUGUUUCCGGCUCCAGCUCCUGUUCCCACCAUUUCCAUGGCACUGCUGCCUCCUCUCUAAGCAGUAACUGCUGCCCCUGAACCCAACCCAGAAUUUCCUACUCCCCCAUACAACCUAGGCUCUUCGGAGCUAGCAUCUCAAAGGCCUGAUCAUUGCCAGCCUGAGUGUUCUUUCUUGAAUAAAGGGCUCCAGAGGAAGAUAGAGCAAUGCAAAAGAGAUAUUCAAAGUUUUUCUUUCCCAUCUUCCAAGGAAUCAGCUUCAGCUUCAAAGCUUUUUUUUUUUUCCUCUAAAGAAGAUGCCUCACACAGGAGGUGCGGUUAGUUUUGUGAAGCCUCAAGGAGGCAUGGUUGGUUUUGUGAAUACUCCCUUAACUGCUUCUAAGGACCGGGGUCUAAAGAGAGAACUUAAGCCAUUAUUAGAUGACCCUGAUGGGGUAGCAGAACAGAUUGAUCUGUUUUUAGGUUCCCAGUUAUAUACUUAGACCGAGUUAAUGUCCAUUCUAAGUAUUCUCUUUUCAAGGGAAGAAACAGUAGAUGUGGAGAGCCAAAGAGAGAGAGAGAGACAGAGUCAAAGGGGGAGAGAGAGAGGUAGAGAGAGAAAGAGAGAAGGAGAGACAAAGGAGAGAGAUUAGGAAGAAGAGAAAGAAAUAUUAAGAAAAUUAUAGGUAUAAGAAUGCACCCUUAUCUCCAGGUGGAUAGUGUCAGAAUAAAAAAGAAAAAAAAGAAUGCACCUUUUAGCAAGGCAUAGUGGCAUACACCUGUAGUCCCAGCUAAUCGGAAGGCUGAGGCAGGAGAAUUGCUUGAACCUGGGAGGCAGGGGUUGCAGUGAGCUGAGAUUAUGCCACUGCACCACUCCAGACUGGAGACAGAGCAAGACUCCAUCUCAAAAAAAAAAAAAAAAAAAAAAAAAAAAAAAAAUUCACCUUUAGAGGAAAGUUAUAAAACAAAGAAAGUUAAGAUUGUCAGGCCAGGUGUGGUGACUCAGGCCUGUAAUCCUAGCACUUUGGGAGGUCAAGGUGAGUGGAUCACCUCAGGUCAGGAGUUGAAGACCACCCUGACCAUCGUGAUAAAACCCCAUCUUCUAAAAAAAAUUUUUUUUUAAUUUAAAAAAAGAAAGAUUGUCUAUGAUAGUUGUGAAAAAUGUUAUAAAAAGGAAUUUAUGCAAGAAAUGCAUAAUUUUUGUUUUGAAACUUUAAACUAGUUUUGAAAUGUUUAUUAUUGUAAAGAAAAUUCUGGUGUAAACAUGUUGGCUAAAGUUGAACAGGUAUCAUCCAGUUUUUCUGUAAACUGAACAUUGAAAUAAAAGCACAACAGGUUUUUCUUAAAGCACUAACCUGCUCUUUAACAAAGAUUUUAAAAGGUCUCUUAGUACAGGCACCACUCCAAGAAUUUCCAGUACACCAGCACCAGCCUGGAGACCAACCUACCUCGUGCUGCUAACCACCGAGACUACCAUUUGUACAGCAGAAAAAAGAUGGACACAUCAUACCUGAGUCAAGAAAGUGCCAUCACUGUUAGAAUCAUGGACAUUGUUCCAGGAUCAGACCCUACCAAGUUAAAGCUAAGAAAAGCUUAGUCUAUCUUUUCUUCUUUUUAGCUACUCCCCAUCUUAUUGUUAAUAUAAAUAGAUCUAACUCACCUCAAGUUAUUACUUUUGAUGCCUGUUUAGUUAUACCUUCUGGAGAUUUACAUGACAGCUUACUACUUCAGAAAAAAAAUAUCUCUGUCCCUCUUAGACUUCCUCAGAUUAGAAAGACAUAAUGAGUUCCUCUAAGGAUACUAGUAAUCCAAGGAAUAGUAGCUGUAUUAAUUGGUAGGAAUCAGACUCUUGUCCCUCUAAAACAGAGUAUCUGUGCUCUGCUUAAUCUAAUGUCAUAUGGAACACUAAAGGUUUAGGAUAGACCUGCUUCCACAGGCUUUUGAGAGUCCUUAAAAUCAUAUAUCCAUUUCACCAAAGGAAUUAUUCCUUCUAGGUAUUCCAUAUAUUGAAUUUUUCCUUCAAUAUAACCAAUAUAAUUCUAUACAGCUUACUAUUGUUAUUGCAACAUCUGAAAACUCAUCCCCUUCAUUAAGUCAUAUUUAUGAUAUAGGAGCUGACAUUUCAGGAAAGAAGAAAUUUUUGAAAUGUGCUUUAUUGCUCCUUCAACCUCUUUAUCAAUCACUCCUCCUAGACACAAUGACAAACCCAAGCUCUCAGUGGUAGAAAUAGAGGACCUAAGGCAAACCGUAGCCAUUGAAAGAGGAUAUAAAGAUGCAAAUGCCUGGUUAGAAUGGAUUAACUAUUUUGUUCGCACCUUAAAGAAAUGCAACUGUUAUGCUUGUGCGUACUGGUAGGCCAGAGGCCCUUUCCACUUGGAUGGUCCUCAAAUCAAGCAGACAUGGAAUAUAUGGUAGCUCUUUUUCAAGAUUUUAUUGCUUGGAAUAAUGAAUUGUGCCAAGUUAUUUUGCUGCUAUUUCCUGAGGUUCAGUAUCCUGUGGGUCAGCACCCAAGGGCCAUGCAGCCUCUAUCUCCCAAGGUGAAGUUCGCCUCGUGUCUUUCAUGACAGGGGGAGAACUUAGUGUUCCUUGGAAACUUAACAGGAUGCAGUUGAAAUUAGGCACUUCCAAGAGCUGGCUCAUCAGUCCAUCCUUACUCAUCCCCGAGCAAAUGCAUGGUGGUAUUGUGGAGGACCUUUACUGGACACUCUGCCAAAUAAUUGGAGCAGCACUUGCACUCUAAUGCAAUUUGCUAUCCCUUUUACCCUGGCAUUUCAUCAACCAGAAAAAGAGAAAAUAUGACAUUUGCGAACGAAAGAAGCUUCUUAUAGGUCCUUUGAUUCCCAUGUCUAUCUAAAUGCAAUUGGAGUUCCUCGAGGAGUACUAGAUAAAUUUACAGCCUGAGAUCAGAUAGCUGCAAGAUUUGAGCCAAUGUUGUUUUUGUAGGUAACAAUAAGAAUUUAGAUUGAAUAAACUACAUUUAUUACAACCAACAGCGGUUUGUUAUCUAUACUAAAAAUGCUGUCAAAAGAAUAACUGAACAAUUAAGAUCCACUAGCCAAAUGUCCUAGGAAAACAGAAUAGCCCUAGAUAUGAUAUUAGUAGAGAAAGGGGGUGUUUGUGUUAUUAUUAAAACCCAGUGUUGUGCCGUUAUUCCAAACAACACUGCUUCUGAUGAGACCAUAACAAAAGCCCUCCAAGGACUUACUGCUUUAUCAAAUGAGCUAGCUAAAAAUUCUGGCAUCAAUAACCCUAUUCAAAUUGACUUACAAGAUGGUUCAGUCAAUGGAAGGAAACCAUAACCUCAAUUCUUACCUCUCUAGCAACUGUGAUAAGUAUACUGCUUCUUGUUAGAUGUUGUAUCAUACCAUGCAUCCAAGGACUUGUGCAGAGGCUAGUAAACACAACUCUUACUAAAAUAUCCCCAACCCCUCCUGUACCCUAUUGAGAUAGAUUAUUUCUUUUAGAAGAACAAACAAAACAACUGAGUCAAGAUAUGUUAAAUAAGUUUGAAGAGGAACUAUAAAAUAGAAAAAGGGAAGAAUUAUAGGAAAUAAUAAAAUGCUCCUCUUCAAAGCUUUCCUCAGUUCAUUACAAAUAAAUAAUAGUUUUUUCAAAGAUUAAUUUACUUUAAAGCUUCUGCUAAUAAUCUUAAAGUAGCUGUUAGUCAUAAUAAAGAAGUAAAUAUUUCCUGUGUUCUUAGUUCUUAUACUCUAACCUAGAUAUUUGUUCUGAUAAGCCUGGACAAGCCCAGGCAAGUCUUAGGUCAUAGCUUAUUCCCCUUCCUUAUUUGAAAAUGUUGCUUCUCUAAGCAUUCCUCAAGUUACUUCCUCUUUUCCUUUGUUCUCCUCUGCAUUUACCUCUUUAGGAAAGUUUUAAGUUAGCCAACCGGGUGCAGCUUAGACUGUGAAGUCCAGUUCCAGCCAAUGGAAUGAGGACACAGCAAUAGGGUGGAUGCGUUAGAUAUAAAUGGCCCUGCCUCCUUUGUUCAGUGCCCUCUUGUGGCAAGGUGACUAAUGGGAGCACCCUUUCUGUAGAAAGUAAAGUUGCCUUGCUAAGGAAAAUUAAAUUUAUAUUCAAGUGCUACUUCUUUUGCGGCACCACAAAUUUACAUAUGACAGUCACUCUUGACUAGGGAGGUCGAGGCUGCAGUGAGCUGAAAUUGCACCACUGCACUCCAGCCCAACUUAGACCCUGUCAAAUGAAUACAUUUUGUAUGUAUGUAUGUAUGUUAACCUCAUCCAAAAAUAUCCUCACAGAACACCCAGAAUAAUAUUUGACCAAAUACCUGGGCACCAAUGGCAUAUUCAACUUGAUACAUAAAAUUAAUCCUCACAGUACCAUACUUUACAACUUUUGGAGUAAAGCUGGAAUGUCAUCACAUUUCCAAGACUAACUCAAUGUCCACAAAUAAUGCUUAAGUCAUGAGGAUCAUCUCAACUUUGGUUUUGGAUGCCUGACAAGCUGUCACUCUUCAACCUAAAUGUCCGAUUUGCAGACAUUUUAUUAUCAAGAGAAGUAACAAUGCCAAGCAGACUAUUCCAGGUCAAAAUAGUCAAAUUAAUAAUUCACAAAUUAUUUUUAGGUAUAAAUCAUAAAUUAUUGUAUGUUUUGAAGGUAUCACAAAGUUAAAGAAAAGUUGCAAGAACAAUACAGAUAACUUUUUUCCUGAACCAUUUGAGAGUAAGUUGCAGACCUGGUGCCCUUCAUUUCUGAAUACUUUAGUGUGCAUUUUCUACAAACAAGUACAUUUUCCAGCAUAACCACAGUGUAUCCAUCAAUGUCAUUAAAUUAAUACUGGUACUUUACUAACACCUCCUCCUCAGACCCUAUCCAAAUUAUACCUAUUAUCAUAAUAAUCUCAUAAUUUAUAGCAAGAUGAUCCAAACCAGGAACGUGCAUUGCAUGUUUAUGAAUGUUUUAAAAACAAGUCUGUGUAGUGAGCGAAGCCACAGUGAUAGAAGAUGUAAAAGCUUUGCGUCUAGAAUUUGUUCUGAAAACCCUGAGAUUCAAGUAAUACAUUAUUUCAUUUACUGUUUCACACAGAGAAUCCCUCAUUUAUAAGAGUUUGCCUUUCUAUCUGAUUUCCACAGGAAAUGAUACUAUCAGUAUCAUACUCAGAAUCUAAUUACAGACAAGGCACUAACCUCUCACCUGUUUUCAGCUUUGUGUAAAGACCAGGGAUCAGAACAUCCCUCUCUACUAUUUCAUACCUAAGUGUGGGAGUUGAUCCAAAUGAAAAAUAUUUUUAAAAGUUUGUAAGCAAAAAGAUUUAAAAGGUAAAAAUUUUUUACUUGAAUAAUUUUAUCUGGCAGAUCUAUGGAAAGAUUAGGUAACUUUUUGGAUCUCUGAAUAUACCUAAUAGAAGUUUGGAAGGACCAUGUCAAAAUUAAUUAAUGUGAACUGACAAAGAUUUGGGGUUCAAAGUAAAAACUCAGCUUUGGAAAAGUGAGCAAGUACUUAAUCAGAAACAAAAAAAAAGUGAGGUGAAAAUGGUUUCCAGGUGCUGUUGCUGUUAUAGUUUGAAUCAUAAAGUUAUUAAAAGGCUGCUGUAACAAACCACCAUAGACUGGGUGACUUAAAAAGAACAAAACUUUAUUUCUCACAGUUCUGGAGGCUGAGAAGUCUAAGAUCAAGGCAUCAGCAGAUUCAGCGUCUGGUGAGGGCCCACUUUCUGGUUCACAGAUAGCACCUUCUCACUGUCUCCCCACUCGGUAGAAGGGGCAAGGGGUCUCUCUUGGUACUCUUUUAUUAAGGUCACUAAUCCCAUCCAUGGGGCUCCACAUUCAUGACCUAUUCACCUCCCAAAGGCCCUAUACCUACCAUCAUAUGGGGGAUUUGAUUUUAAUUUGUGAAUUUGGGGGAAGAGGGACAAACAUUUGUUUUGUAGCAAAAGGGGUAGAGUAACAUCUGCAAAUAACUUGAGGAAAGAAUUAUUAUUUAAAAACCAUUAUUCAAUUGGAUUUAAAUAAUUUCAAGAAUGAAAUGAAAAUUCUGGUAAUGGGUGGAAACAUAGGUAAAUUCCCCUUUUCCAUUUACUACUACCUGCCUGAACAACAGUCAUUUCUCAUUAAUAGGAAUUUGAAGAGAUCAUUAGUAAAAAGUCUUGAUCAGGAAUUGGGUAUAGCUGUUUCCAGCUAUACACAAAAAAUCUUAUAUGAAACGUAUAUUCACAGAAGACGCUCAAGUAUGGCAUUAAAAAUGUCGUUUAUUUAAAUAUUUAUACAAAUUUAACUGUAUUUUCUUUUUUUGUAAUAACUAUAUGAAAUAAAUACAAAGUAACACAUUUUUACCAAUCCCCCUUCCCAUCCUUCUCACCACCCUCAAACUCCCACCGAAUCAGAAUCAGAGAAACAGCCAGAGGGAUGUCUCUAUGGAGACAAAGGGAGGCCUUGCACCCAGGCAGUUCAGCAGCUCCUGGUGGGUGGCCCUUCCCAUCUGAGUACCCCUCAAUGUGCCUGCUCCUCCUGGGAUCCUUUCUGCUUCCUUGGGCCUCUGCUUUUGGUCUGCAGUGGUUGGUUAUGUAGAGGGGUCGGUAUUAGUGUUGUUCCAGGCCAAGCUACAGGUUGAGCAGGUCACAUAGCAAGACAGGCCCAGCUGCGGACUCUGAUGUCUGCAGUUAGGAGCGGCAGGAAGUAAUGGAUGCACCAGGCGCUGACUCAGCCUGUCCCUAAGCCUUAGUCUAGGGGAAGGGUCUGGCUGUUUACCUGCCUUCCUAUUUGGAGCUGAUCCUAGGACCAAAUGGGAUGCCAUCGUCCAAGGGCAGGGAGAUGCUAGAAGGGAGGUCCUCAGAAGAGAAUGAGGCCUAAAUGCCAAGGCAGGAAGGGGAUCAAUCCCAGCAGCACCUUCUGGUGGUAGUUGGGGGAAUAAAAUAGCCAGAGAAGAGAUGCCCUGAAGGCAUCUCCAGAGCUUGAGUCUCUCCAUAGCCAACCUGAGCUCCUAAACCCCUCUGGACUAGGUACCCUUCUCCACUUACCUGCCUACUCAAGAAAGAUAAGACAAGGCCAGGCGCAGUGUGGUUCAUGCCUGUAAUCCCAGCACUUUGGGAGGCCUGAAGUCAGGAGUUCAAGACCGGCCUAGCCAACAUGCUGAAACCCUGUCAUUACUAAAAAUACAAAAAUUAGCCAGGCAUGAUGAUGGACACCUGUAAUCCCAGCUACUGAGGAGGCUGAGACAGGAGAAUCACUUGAACCUGGGAGACGGUGGUUGCAGUGAGCCGAGACUGUGCCACUGCAUUCCAGCCUGGGCAACAGAGUGAGACUCAGAAAAGAAAGAAAGAAAUAAUGAGAGAGAGAGAGAAAAGAAAGAUGGACCUUCUGGCAGGUGGGAAGGGAAGGGAGAUGGUGCUGGAGGAUGAUGUGGUGGUGGGGCAGGCAAGUCUUCACCUCAAAGAGUUGGGUCACCAACACUGCCUUGAAGCUGCCAUCUUCCUGGAGGCCACCACAGUCUUCAGGUGGUAACCCCAAGCUUCAGUGGCCCUGGCCCUAUAAAAUAUAAAGCCCUACCUUUCUCCACCUGAUCUACUUCCCAUCUUACUUCCCAUGCCCCAGCCAUUCCCAGCAGGAUAAGCCAGAACCCGCUGUCUGGUUUCCAGGCCUUAGCUACUGCUGAAUUCUCAGGUGGAUUCUCCUCCCUCUCACAACCAGAGAAACCCCUACUCAUCUCUCAAGACAGUUCAUAAUCACCUUCUCCGGGAUCUUCCCUCACCUUCCUUCAGACAUGAAAAAGUGAAAAUAUUAGCUAUGAAAAAUACAUAGUUCAAAGAAAGAACACAAUAGAUGGGGUAAACAGAUUGACCACAGACGAAGAAUGAAUAAGUGAAUUGAAAGAUCAGACUGAGAACCUCUCCCAGAAAGCAGCAGGAAAGCAUUAAAAUAUAGAAAACAUUAACUUAAAAAACAAGAGAAAUGGAGAAGUGUCAGCAUUUUUAUAAUAGCCUUAGAGAGAGUGUAAGAAUGAAUAAAUAAAUCAAGAAAAUAUUUGAAGAAUGGAGAUAAAUAUUCCAGGAAUAAAGUUUGCUGAAUACAAAAUCAGUUUACAAAGUCUAUUGUAUUUCUAUAUAAAACAAAUACAGCUAAAAAACAAAAAAAUUAAAUUACCAUUUAAAUGGCAUUUAAAAAUCAAUUACCUAGAGAUCUCAGAAGUAAAUCUAACAGAGGAUGUGUAAAUCCUUUCUGGAGAAAACUGUAGAACUUGCAAAAGAGAUAUUAAAGAAGAUGAUCACCCUGGGCAACAUAGCAAAGCCCUGUCUCUGCAAAAAAUACAAAAAUUAGCCAGGUAUGGUAGUGCACACCUGUAGUCUAAACUACUUGGGAAGCUGACGCAGGAGGAUCGCUUGAGCCUGGGUUACAGUGAGCUAAGAUGGCACUAUUGCACUCUAAGCUAGGUGACAGAGUAAGACUCUCUCAAAAAAAAAAAAAAAAAAAAGGAUGAUUUAAAUAACGCCUGUAAUCCCAGCACUUUGGGAGGCCAAUGUGGGAAGAUCAUUUGAGCCCAUGAGUUCAACAGUAGCCUGGGCAUAGUGAGACCCUGUCUCUACAAAAUUUUUUAGAAAUUAGCCAGGUGUAAUGUCGGAUGCCUGUAGUCCCAGCUACUUGGGAGACUGAGGUGGGAUCGCUUGAGCCUGGGAGGUCAAGGCUGCAGUGAGCUGUGAUCAAGCCACUGGACCCCAGCCUGGAUGACAGAGUGAUACUCUCUCUCGCAAAAAAAAUUUCAAUAAAUGGAGUGAUACACCAUAUUCAUGUGCAUAGGCUGGUGAGCUAACUACUACAAGAAUGCUAGUUCUCCCCAAGUUGAUCUACAGAUUCCAAUUAAACCCUGAUGGAUGGGUUGGUUGGUUUGUUUUGGUGGAACUUGACUGAUUCUAAAAUGUAUAUAUUAAUAGAAGUGAAAAAGGUUAAGAAUAGCCAUGACUCCUGAAGAACUAGGAUGGAGGACUUGCUCUCUCAGAUGUUAAGGAUUUUUUGUUGUUUGGUUUUGUUUUUUUAUAUAAAGCUAUAAUAAUUAAGAGUGCUGUAUUGGCAGCCAGGCGCCGUGGCUCAUGCCUGUAAUCCCAGCACUUUGGGCAGCUGAGGUGGAAGGAUCACCUGAGGUCAGAAGUUUGAGACCAGCCUGGCCAACAUGGUGAAACUCCGUCUUUACUAAAAAUACAAAAAAUUAGCUGGGUGUGGUGGCAUGCACCUGUAAUCCCAGCUACUUAGGACGCUGAGACAGGAGAAUCACUUGAAACAGGAAGGCAGAAGUUGCCAUGAGCCAAGAUUACACCAUUGCACUCCAGCCUGGGCAACAAGAGUGAAACUCUGUCUCAGAAAAAAAAAAAAGAAGAAGAAGAAGAAGAAGUAUAGUAUUGGCACAAAGAAAAGUGAAUCCGGCCAGGCGUGGUGGCUCAUGCCUGUAAUUCCAGCACUUUGGGCAGCUGAGGUGGAAGGAUCACCUGAAAUCAAGAGUUCAACACCAGCCUAGCCAACAUGGUGAAACCCCAACUCUACUAAAAAUACAAAAAUUUGCCAAGUAUGGUGGCAGAUGCCUAUAAUCUGAGCUACUUGGGAGGCUGAGGCAUGAGAAUUGCUUGAACCAGGAGACGGAGGUUGCUGUGAGCUGAGAUCGUGCCACUGCAGUCCAGUGUAGGUGACAGAGUGAGACUCCAUCUCAAAAAAAAAAAUGAAAGAAAAAUGAAUCCACGCAUAUUUGCAUACUCGGUUUAUCAAAAAUAUGUCUUCACAGAGCUGUAGAAGCAAGGCAAUCUUUUAAACAAAUGGUACUGGGACAAUUAGGUGUCCAGUUAAAAGAAAAAACUAAACUAAAACUAAAUUGGCUACUUACUUCACAACAUACAUUUUUUAAAAAAUCAAAUAAUUCCCAGGUACAUUAUAGACCUAAGUGUGAAAAGCAAAGAAGGUAACAAAGGAAAAUAUUCUUGAUAUUAGAAUAGUAAAAGAUGUCUUUAAAAAAAAAUAGAGACAGGAGUCUUGCUACAUUGCCCAGGCUGGUCUCAAACUCCUGGCCUCAAGUGAUCCUCCCACCUUGGCCUCCCAAAGUGCUGGGAUUACAGGCAUGAGCCACCAUGCUGGACCUGAGAUGGUAAAAGAUUUCUUAAACAAGACACCAAAAGAACAAAUCAUGAAAGGAAAGGACUGAUAAAAUUGACUACAUCAAAAAUAAUAACUUCUUCACCCAGAGACACCAUAAGCAGUGCAAAUGAAAGCCACAAAAUGGGAAAAUAUGUUUGCAUCACUUAAAAUCAGAUUCCAUAUCCAGAUUGUAAGAUGAAGUUCUACAGUUCUACAAUUCAACAAGAGAAAGAUAGGUAAUCAAUAGAAAAAUAUGCCAAAGAGCUGAACAGGCAUUUUACGAGAGAGUACUCAAAUGGCUAGUGAAAAAUAUGAAAAGGUAGGCCUGGUGUGGUGGCUCAUGCCAGCAAUCCCAGAAACCUGGGAAGCCCAGGUGAGAGGACCACUUGAGGCCAGGAGUUCAAGACCAGCCUGGGCAACAUAUCAAGACCAUCUCUAUAAAAAAUUUUUUUUAAUAUCCAGGCAUGAUAGUGGCAUGCCUGUAGUCCCAGCUGCUCAGGAGCCUGAGGCAGGAGGACUGCUUGAGCCCAGCCCUGUAGUAUGAGGCUACAGUGAGCUAUGAUCAUGCCACUGCACUCCAGCCUGGGCAACAGAACAAGACCCUGUCUCGAAAAAGAAAAAAAAUAUUAAAGGUGCUCAACUUCAUUAGUUAUCAGGAAAAUGCCAAUUUAACCCACUUGAGAUACCAUUUUAUAAUCCUCAGCUUGGCAAAAAUUUAAAAUGGGCUGUUCCAAGGGUUGGGAAAUAUGUUGAAUAAUAGAAUCUUUCAUACUCUGCUGGUUGGAUUAAAACUACUUCAGAAAAGUUUGACGCUAGCUAGAAAAGUUAAAGAUGUGUAUACCUUUUGUCCCAAUAAGUCAUACACCCUACAAAAAUGUAUGCUUAUGGCCAGGCACAGUGGCUCACACCUGUAAUCCCAGCACAGCACUUUGGGAGGCCACGAAGGGCGGAUCACCUGAGGUCAGGAGUUUGAGAUCAGUCUGGUCAACUUGGUGAAAUACCAUCUCUACUAAAAAUACAAAAAUUAGCUGGGCGUGGUGGUGCACACCUGUAGUCCCAGCUACUCAGGAGGCUGAGGGAGGAGAUUGGCUUGAACCCGGGAGACAGAGGUUGCAGUGAGCCUAUAAAUAAAAUAAAUAAACCUAUGCUUAUGUAUACUAGGAAAUAUGUACAAAAAUUUUCUUGCAGCAUUGUUUAUAUAGCCCUAAAUCAGAAUGCUCCAAAUGCCUUUCAAAAUUAGAGUUGAUAGAUUAUGGUAGAUUCAUACAAUGAAAUACUGUUGCCGAACACCAAGGGUUUGGCCUAGGUCUGGUUACUUGAUGCACAGAAAGCCAAGCACUGAGAGUAGUAUUGCCAGGGAAGAACAGCUUUAAUGCCAGCGUCAGCCAGGAGGUGGGAGACCAGUCUCAAAUUCAUCUCUCCAACUUACUAAAGUUAGCAGUUUAUAUAGUAGGGAAGGAAUGUAAAACAAGAAUUAGGGAGGGGUAAGGAAGAGAAGCUGGUCAACAGGCAGCACUUGGUUGGAUGAGGGAUCUGUUGUCUCACCAUAACCAUACGCAGAAAAACAGAAAUUCAGGAGGUAUAAAGAAGAGGAGUUGGUCAACAGGCAGCAGGUGUGUCUCGUCUGGAUGUGGUGAUAUGGAAAGUUUCGGUUCUUCAGUUCUCUCUGGGAGACCUGGUGGUUGGUUUCCUGAGAAAGGAAUUCAGAUAAAAACAAAUGUAAGUUUCUCAAGUUUCAGUUCAGGGGGAAAACUGGGUUGAUUUCAAUACUACACAGGCAAGAAGAUAAAGCACAGCUAUAUGUUAAAACAUGGAUAAAUCUUAAAAGUAUAAUGUUAAAUGAAAGAAACAAAACACAAAAGAAUACAUGCUGUAUGACUCUAUUUAUGAUGUUAAUAAAAAUAGGAAAAUCUAAACUACACAAAUAGGAAGUCAUGCUUAGGUUGUAAAAUGUUAAAGAAAAGUAAGGAAGUGGCGACCAUAAAAGUCAAUGUUUGAAUUCUGAAUCAAGCAGUCUAACUAUUAAAAGAUAUAUUUUGGCCAGGUAUGGUGGCUAACACCUGUAAUCCCAGCACUUUGGGAGGCCAAGAUGGAAGGAUCACUUGAGGCUGGAAGUUGGAGACCAGACUGUGCAACAAAACAAAAAAAUUCAAAUUAGGUGCACUUCAUUUCUCAAGUCACCCACCUGGGCCUCUUCCAAGUUGUACUUACCUUCUUUUCUUUCCUUUCCUUACCGUUCUAAAGCUUUUAAACAAACUUUCACAACUGCUCUGAAAAAAAAUUUUUUUUAAUUAGCCAUGUGUGGUGGUGCACGCCUGUAGUCCCAGCUACUCGGGAGGCUGAUGCUGGAGGAUCACUGAAGCCCAGAAGUUUGAGAUUACAGUGAGUUAUGAUUGUGCUGCACUCCAGCCUGAGUGACAGAACAAGACCCUGCAUCUAAAAAAAAUUUUUUUAAUUUGUACAUAAUUUUUCAAAGUAUGUUUUUAGUUAAUUUGGGAACACCUGAAUAUAGUGACAUUCAUUUGACUAUAAUGACAGUAAGGAAUGAUUGCGAAUUUGGUUAGGUUACUAAUGGUUUUAUAAUUACAUAAGGAAAUGUCUUCUUUUUUAGGUGCAGGCUUAAGUUCUUAGGGAUGAAGUGACAUAAUAUCUGGGGUUUGCUUUAAAACAGUCCAGGAAAGAGAAGGAGGGGGGGACGAGGGAGGGAUACAGAGAGAAAGGUGGUUAUAUGAAACAAAUGUGACAAAAUGUCGGUGAAGCUUGAUGAUGGAUACACGGGAAUUUUAGCAUACUGUACUUUUGUUUACAUUCAGACAUUUUCAUAAUAAAAAGUUUUUAAAAGAUAAAAAUAUGUCAGGUACUCAUUAUUUCUGAGCUGGCGAGAGGGAGUUGUGAUAAGAACAGGACAUGCAGGGAAGCUUUUCGCUUUGGUAAUUUUCUUUUUCUUGACCUAGGUAGUUGCUUGUUAAGAUAUGUUUACACAGGCUGAGUGCACUGGCUCAUGACUGUAAUCUUCAACACUUUGGGAGACUGAGGCAGGAUGAUUAUCUGAGGACAGGAGUUUGAGACACCUUCAGCAACAGUGUGAGACCCUAUCUCUUUAAAAAAUCGUUUUGGCUGGGCACGGUGGCUCACACUUGUGAUCCCAGCACUUUGGGGGCUGAGGCGGGUGGAUCACUUGAGGUCAGGAGUUCAAGACCAGCCUGACCAACAUUGUGAAACACCGUCUCUAUUUAAAAAAAAAAAAAAAAAGCCAGGCACAGUGAUGGGCACUUGUAGUCCCAGCUACUAGGGAGGCUGAGGCAGGAGAAUCGCUUGAACCUGGGAGGUGGAGGUUGCAGAGAGCUGAGAUUGCACCACUGCACUCUAGCCUGGGCAACAGAAGAAGACUCUUUCUCAAAAUAAAAAAAAUGUUUACACAUAACCUUUCCUGUAUGUGUCAUGUUUCACAAUUUUAAAAGGCAAAUAAAACAGGAAACAAUGUUUGUAUGAAUGCCCUCUGAUUGUGACAGGAAUGAUCUUUCGGGUAAAUAAUGUCCCUGCAUCUGUGAAACUUCUAUCCACAGACACUAAGAAACAACAGAUUCUUGUUUGGAGUAAUAAUCAGUUAUAUCAUUUGGUUUAAACUGACUCAACUUAAUGUUUAAUAAUUGUUAAAUGUUUGAGAAGGAAACAGGUCUUCUUGUACACGUUUUUCCGGUCUGUUUUAAUGUACUUUUUGAUUUGGCUUGAAUCAAAAUGUUUUAAGAAAAAAACUUUUUUUUUUCAGAGUCUCACUCUGUCACUAAGGCUGGAGUGCAGUGGUGUGAUCACUACUCACUGUAGCCUCCACCUCCAGUGCUCAAGCAAUCAUCCUACCUCAACCUCCAGAGCAGCUGGGACUAUAGGUGCAUGGUACUAUGCCCAGCUAAUAAUUUUAUUUUUUGUUGAGACAGGGUCUCACUAUGUUGCCCAGGCUGGUCUUGAACUCCUGGGCUCAAGCAAUCCUCCUGCCUUGGCCUCCCAAAAUGUUGGGAUUGUAAGUCUAAGCCACCAUGCCGGGCCAGAAAAAAAGCUUUGUUCUUGCUAUUUCAGUGCAUUUUUUUAAAUGCCUGGGACGUGUUCAAUAUGUUCUGAAUUUUAGAACCUCUGCAACUCAGUGUUUCCUGCUUUCAAAGCAAAGUAUGGAGAAUAUUUGCCUGUAUUGGACAUGAGGGUAUAUGUGUAUAUACGGGUGUUUUAAAGUAUACACAUGACUGGCCUUUUUGCUCUUUGUCUCUAGGUGAUGCUGCGUUUGAGAAGCUAUACCUUGUUUUAGUCUAAUAAUAGGUAGUAUCUUUUGACCAUUUAUGAACAACAAAAGUACAUAUUGCUGGCAUAAUUAAGAAAAAACUUUGUAAAAGCAAGAUCAUGGUUUUAAACUUUUAGUUCAAGGCAUGGUCAGACACUGGGGAGCUUAUUUCGCUGCCCUCAAAAAAGAAAUCUCCUUUACACCCUUCAAAAAAUUAAUUUAAAGUGGAUCAUACACUUAAAUAUAAAAUGCAAAACUAUAAAACGCCUAGAAGGUAACAUAGGAGAACAUGUAAGUAAGUGCCCUUGGGUAUGGCAAUGACUUUUUAGGUACAACACCAAAGGCAUGAUCCAUGAAAGAAAUAAUUGAUAAGCUGGACUUCAUUCACAUUUAAAAACUUCUGCUCUGCGAAAUACACUGUUGGCCAGGCAUGAUGGCUUACGCCUGUAAUCCCAUCACUUUGAAAGGCCUAGGUGAGUGGAUCACCUGACGUUAGGAGUUCGAGGCCAGCCUAGAAAACAUGGCAAAACCCUGUCUCUACCAAAAAUAGAAAAUUCAGUCGGACGUGGUGGCAGGCGCCUAUAGUCCCAGCUACUCAGGAAGUUGAAGCAGGAGAAUCCCUUGAAUGUGGGAGGUGGAGGUUGCAGUGAGCCAAGAUGGUGCCAUUGCACUCCAGCCUGGGUGAUAAAAGCAAAACUCCAUCUCCAAAUAAAUAAAUAAAUAAAUAAACAAAAAUAGAACAAUUAGCAGGGAGUGGUGGCGUGUGCCUAAUCUCAGCUACUCGGGAGGCUGAGGCAGGAGAGUCGCUUGAACCUGGGAGGUGGAGGUUGCAGUGAGCCAAGAUCAUGCCAUUGCACUUCAGCCUGGGUGACAGAGCGAGACUCCCUCUUAAAAAAGAAAAAAGAAAAAAAGACCCUAUCAAGAGAAUGAGAAAACAAACUACAGACUGGUAUAAAAUAUUUGCAGAAGACAUAUCCGAUAAAGGAUUUUUUAUCUAAGACACAUAAAUAACUCUUAAAACUCAACAAUAAGAAAAUGAACAUCCCAAUUUAAAAACAGGCAAAAGACACCUGGCAUGGUGGCACAUGCAUGUAGUCCCAGCUACUUGAGAGGUUGAGGCAGGAGGACCACUUGACUGAGGAGUUUGAAAUGAGCCUGGGCAACAUAGCAAGACCCCACCUCAUAAAAAAGAAAAAGGGCAAAAGACCUAAACAGACAUCUCACCAAAGAAGAUAUACAGAUGGCAAAUAAGUAUGUGAAAAGAUGCACCACAUCAAAUGUCAUUAAGGUUUGCAAAUUAAUACAAUGAGAUACCACCACAUACCUAUUAGUAUGGCCAAAAUCCAGGACACCGACAAUACCUAAUGCCAAUGAGGAUGUGGAGCAACGGGAACUCUCAUUCAUUGCUGGUGGGAACGCAAAAUGGUUCAGCCACUUUGGAAGACAGUUUGGCAAGUUCUUACAAAACUAAACACACUCUUAUCUUACCAUUCAGCAAUCACACUCUUUGGUAUUUGCCCAAGUGAUUUGAAAACUUAUGUCUACAUAAAAUCAUGCAAUGGAUAUUUAUGCCCAAACUUGGAAACCAAGAUGCCCUUCAGUAAGUAAAUGGAUAAACUGUGGUACAUUCAGACAAUGGAACAUUAUUCAGCAAUAAAGAUAAGUGAGCUCUCAAGCCACCAAGAGACAUAGAAGAAACUUAAAUGCAUACUAAUAACUGAAAGAAGGCAAUCUGAGCCAGGUGUGGUGGCUCACGCCUGUAAUCCCAGCACUUCGGGAGGCUGAGGUGGGUGGAUCACUGGAGGUCAGGAGUUUGAGACCAGCCUGGUCAACAUGGUGAAAAACCCAUCUCUACUAAAAAUACACACACACACACACGCACACACACACACACACACCAGCCAGGCAUGGUGGCACAUGCCUACAAUCCCAGCUACUCUGCUACUGGGGAGGCUGAGGCAGGAGAAUUGCAUGGACCCAGGAGGUGAAGGUUGCAGUAAACUGAGAUUGCGCCACUGCACCCCAGCCUGAGUGACAAAGCAAGACUCCAUCUCAAAAAAAAAAGGCAAUCUGAAAAAGCUAUAUGCUGUAUGAUUCCUAAAUAAAAACAUUCUAGAAUAGGUAAAACUAUGGAGAGAGUAAAAAAAAAAUCAGUGGUUGCUAGAAGUUAUGGGAGGGAAGUAUGAAUAGGUGGAGCACAGAGUAUUUAUAGAGCAAUGAAACAACUCUGUAUGAUACUAUAAUGGUGGAUGCAUGUCAUUAUACAUUGGUCAAAACCCACAGAGUGUACAACACCAAGAGUGAACCUUAAUGUAAGCUAUGGACUUAACCAAUUAUGUGCCAAUGUACUGACUAUAACAAAUGUACCAUUCUGCUGGGGAUGUUGAUAGUGGGGGAAGCUGUGCCUGUGUAGGAGCAGGGGGUAUACAGGACACAUACUUUCCACUCAAUUUUGCUGUGGACCUAAAACUGCUCAAAGGAAUAGAGGCUCACUCUGUCGCCCAGGCUGGAGUGCAGUGGCACGAUUUCGGCUCACUGCAACCUCCACCUCCCAGGUUCAAGCAAUUCUCUUGCCUCGGUCACCUGAUUAGCUGGGAUUAUAGGCACACACCACCACACCCAGCUAAUUUUUGUAUUUUUAGUACAGAUGGUGUUUCACCAUGUUGGCCAGGCUGGUCUCGAACUCCUGGCCUCAAGUGAUUUGCCCGCCUCGGCCUUCCAAAAUCUGGGAUUACAGAUGUGAGCCACCACACCCAGCUCAUAUAUAUAUAUAUAUAUAUAUAUAUAUAUAUAUAUAUAUACACACACACACACACAGCUUCCAGGCACAGGACUGAUGUAGCCUGAAAUCAGACAUAAAACCAAAUCCUGCAGGUUGCUGAAUUACAAUGCAGGUUGUAUUCAUAGGAUCUCCAGGUCUCACAGGCAAAAACAUGGCCACUGAUUAGGGAAAAAUGGGACCUUGAGAAUAGAAAUAGGAACAUCAGGAUUGACUUGGAUUGAUCUGAGCAUCCUAAACCCCAACCCUCACUGAGUCUCCCUUGGCAGCAGAAGCAGCCCUUCUUCCCCAGUCUAUGGGGCUGGUCCUGCCUGACUUGGGGACCCUCUCACUGGCUAAUCUUUUCAAGAUCCACCAUAUCAUCUUUUGCUGCCUCCAGACCCAUUACUGAAUUCAGAUUACUGCAUGUUCCAGGAAAUAAAGUCAAACCUAUGAGGAGAAAGCACACACACACAAAUAAGAAGAUAUAGUUAAUUUAUAUUGGCAGAAAUCUCCAUAAUAUGGGUGACAGAGUGAGACCAUGUCUACAAAAAAAGAAAAAGAAAAGAAACCUCCAUAAUAUGUGUGAGAAUUGAUUCUAUGGAUGAUAGAUUAGGGAAAAAGAAGUGUAACUUUAGAUUGGGCCAAACUUUUUUAUUGUUGUAAACUAUAUAUAGCAUAAAAAUUUCUGAAAGGGCAUGGUGGCUCAUGCCUGUAAUCCUGGCACUUUGGGAGGCUGAGGCAGCUGGAUCACCUGAGGUCAGGAGUUCGAGACCAGCCUGGCCAACAUGGUGAAAGCCCAUAUCUACUAAAAAUACAAAAAUUAGCCAGGCAUGGUAGCAGGCCGGUAAUCCCAGCUACUCAUGAGACCGGGGUAGGAGAAUCACUUGGACCCAGGAGGAGGAGGUUGCAGUGAUCGGUAUAGCUGCACUGCACUUCAGCCUGGACAACAGAGUGAGACUCUGUCUUUAAAAAUUCCAUGUUAACCAUUUUUGAGUGUACAAUUAUAUGGCAUUAAUUACAUUCACGAUGUUGGGUAACCAUCACUACUACAGUAUCUAGUUCCAAACUUUUUUAUCACCCCAAACAGAAACUCUAUACCCAAUAAGCAAUCAUUUCCCUAUUACCCCCAGCCUCUGGUAAUCUCUAACCUACUUUCUGUCUAUGAAUUUGCCUAGUCUGGAUAAUUUCAUUUAAGUGGAAUCAUACAAUAUUUGUCCUUUUGUGUCUGGGUUAUUUCACUUAGAAUAUUUUCUUUGAGACAGGGUAUCACUCUGUCACCCAGGCUGGGGUGCAGUGAGCAAUCAUGGCUCACUGCAGCCUCAACCUCCCUGAGCUCAGGUGAUCCUCCCACUUCCUGAGUAGCUGGGACUACAGGUGUGAGCCACUACACUCUGCUAGAUAUUUUCAAGGUUCAUCUAUGUUGUAGCAUGUGUCCAACCUUUAUUACUUUUAUGGCUGAAUAAUAUUCCAGUAUUUGUAUAUACUGCAUUUUAUUUAUACGGUUAACUGUUGAUGGACAUUUCGGUUGUUUUUAUCUUUUGGCUAUUGUGAAUAAUGAUGUAAAGAACGCUGGUUUGGAAAUAUCUGUUUUGACUACUUGUUUUCAGUUCUUUUGGGUAUAUUCUUAGCAGUGGAAUUGCUGGGUCAUAUGAUAAUUCUCUGUACCAGGACUCCAAUUUUUCCCCAUCCUCUCCAAUACUUAUUAUUUUCUGAUUAUUACUAUUAUUAUAGUCAUUCUAGUGGGAGUGAAGUGGUAACUGAUUUGCAUUUCCCUAAUAACUAAUGAUGUUGAGCAUCUUUUCAUGUGCUUUUUGGGCAUUUUGUAAUUGCAUUUUAGGUUUUGGGGUACAUGUGAAGAACAUGCAAGAUUGUUGCAUAGGUACACACAUGGCAGUGUGAUUUGCUGCCUUCCUCCCCCCAUCACCUAUAUCUGACAUUUCUCCCCAUGCUAUCUCUCCCCAACUUUUUGGGCAUUUUUGUAUCUUCUUGGGAGAAAUAAUCUAUUCAAGUCCUUUGCCCAUUUUUUUUCUUCGUAAUCACAAAGACAUAAUCCUUUGUCCAUUUUUUGUUUGUUUUUGAGACAGAGUCUUGCUCUGUUGCCCAGGCUGGAGUGCAGUGGCAUGAUCUCAGCUCACUGCAGCCACCACCUCCCAGGUCAAGUGAUUCUCCUGCCUCAGCCUCCUGAGUAGCUGGGAUUAUAGGCACAUGCCACCACACCCAGCUAAUUUUUGUAUUUUUAGUAGACGUGGGUUUCACCAUGUUGGCCAGGAGGGUCUUGGAACUCCUGACCUCAGGUGAUCCACCCACCUCGGCCUCCAAAGUGCUGGGAUUACAGGCUUGAGCCACCGCGCCUGACCUCCUUUGCCCACUUCUAAAUUGAAUUGCUUGUAUUUUUGUUGUUGAGUUCUAGGAGUUGUUUGUAUAUUCUGGAUAGUAAAUCCUUAUCAGAUAUAUGAUUGCAAAUAUGUUCCCUUAUUCUGUAGGCUGUCUUUACACUUUCUCGAUGUCCUUUGAUGCACAAAAUUUUUAAUUUUGAUGAAGUCCAAUUUGCCUUUUUUCUGUUGUUGCUCAUGCUUGUAGUGUCACAUUUGAGACUGUUGCCAAAUCCAAGGCCAUGAACAUUAACUCCUGUUUUCCUCUAGUUUUACGGUUUUAGCACUUAAAUUUAGGUUAUUAAUCCAUUUUGAGUUAAUGGUAUAUGGUGUGAAGUAGGGGUCCAAUUUCAUACUUUUGCAUGUGGAAAUCCAGCUGUCGUCCCAGCACCAUCUGUUGGAGAGACUAAUCUCUCCCCCAUUGAAUGGACUUAGCACUCUUGUAUCAAUUGGUGGCUGGGCACAGUGGCUCACUCCUGUAAUCUCAACACUGGGAGACCAAGGUGGGAGGAUUGCUUGAGCUCAGGAGUUUGAGACCAGCCUGGGCAACACAGUGAGACCUUGUCUCUAAAAAAAAAAUUAGCUGUGUGUGGUGGCAUGUGACUAUUAAGCCCACCUACUUGGGAUGCUGAAGUAGGAGGAUCACUUGAGCCCAGGAGUUUGAGGUUGCAGUGAGCCUCAAACUGCAGUGAGCCAAGAUCAUGCCACUGCACUCCAGCCUGGGCAACAGAGCAAGACUGUGUCUUGAAAAAAAAAAUCAAUUGGCAGUUUGACUUGUUCUUUUUUUCCUAAGAUUGUUUUGGCUAUUAAUGGCUCCUUGUAAUUCCAUAUGAAUUUGAGGAUCAGCUUUUUCAUUUCUGCAAAAAGGUCUUUGGAAUUUUCAUAAGGACUGUGUUGAAUCUGUAGAUCACUUUGGCUAGUAUUAACAUCUUAACAGUAUUAGGUCUUUCAAUCUAUGAACAUGAGAUGCCUUUCCAUUUCUUUAGAUCUUUAAUUUCUUUCACUGAUGUUUCAUGGUUUUCUUUUUUUUUAAUUUAUUUUUUUAAGAUGGGGUUUCACCAUGAUAACCAGGCUGAUCUUGAACUCCUGACCUCAGGUGAUCCACCUACCUCGGCCUUACAGGCGUGAGCCACCGCACCCAGCCUCUUUCAUGGUUUUCAAUGUACAAGUCUUUCUCCUCUAUUAAAUUUAUUCCUGGAUAUUUUAUUCUUUUAGAUGCUAUUGUAAAUUGAAUUGCUUUCUUAACUUCAUUUUGGAUAGUUCAUUGCUAGUGUAUAAAAGCACAACUGCUUUUUAUGUGUUGAUCUUGCACCUUGCAACUUUGCUGAUUAGCUCUAUGCCUCUUCGUUUUUUUUUAAGAGACACGGGGUCUCAUUCUGUCGCCUAGGCUGGAAUGCAGUAGCACCAUCAUAGCUCACUGCAGCCUCAAACUCCUGGACUCAAGGGAGUCUCCCACCUCAGUCUCCCGUGUAUCUGGGAGUACAGGCACACAUCACCAUGCCAGCUAAUUUUUUAAAUUUUUUUGUAGAGACGGGAUUUUGCUAUGUUGCCUAAGCUGGUCUCGAACUCCUGACUUCAUGCAGUCCUCUUACCUCAGCCUCACAAAGUGCUGGGAUUGUAAGUGUUGGCUACCACACCCAGCCUGAAAUGCCUUUUCUGCAUCAAUUGAGAUGAUCAUGUGUUUUUUUACUUCGUUCUAUUAAUGCGAUGUUACUACCUUGAUUGAUUUUCAUAUUUUGAACCAUUCUUGCAUUCCUAAGAUAAAUCCCACUUGGCCAAAGUGUAUCCUACUUUUAAUAUGCUGUUGGGUUUAGUUUGCUAGUAUUUUGCUGGGGAUGUUGCAUCUAUAUUCAUAAAGGAUAAUUGUCUGUAAUUUUCUUCGUUUGUGAUGUCUUCACCUGGUUUGGGUAGGGCCAAACUUUUCAGUAUGGAUGUACUCAUCAGCAAUCCUGGAUGUACUUGGCUAGCUGAAGCAGCUAGGAGUAUUUCUAAGAGUUGUUCUAUUGACCGACCAAAACCUGAACUCAAUAGUAGCUUGUGUUAAAUGAAGUUAAGGUGCCAGAAAUUCCAUGGUACAGUGUAGGCAGGGGAAUCCAUCGUUUAGGGCAAUAAUUGUUGGAAUUGAUUGAUCAUAUGUAACACAUUCAACUCACCCUUUGACUAUGUGACAUUCCUUUCACAGGACUUUGAGAAAUACACUGUGGUAAAGACUAGCUAAGUGGUCACUAAAUUUGUUUCCUCUUCCUUCUAGAAACAAUUUCAGACUACAUUUUGUCAGUGUUCCUUACAAUUGGGUAUGCCCACUGUCUGAGUUCUAGCUGACAGAAUAUGAGAAGUGAUGUGUGCUACAUCCGACUCAUAGAAACCUCCCACAUGGUCUUUUCUUCUUCUGGCUAUCUAGGAUGGAGAUGACAAUAAAUACAAUGAUGACCAUGUUUUGAAGAUAGCAGACCUUCUGGAGAGAAAAUGCCUAGGCCUCUGAAUUAUCACUUAGAAGAGGGAAGCCCAAUUAUUAACACCUGUUUUGUAAUACUACAGAAGCAAGAAAUAAACUGGUCUUAAAUCUCAGAAAAUUUUCUAUCCCAGGAGCUAGCUUUACCUUAACUAGUACAUGAAUGAGUACCAGUAUUAUAAAGCAUUGCAAUGAUUUAUUUCUGUAGAUGAGGGUCAUGGUGAGAAAUCAUGAAUGAGCUCCCUGAUUUCAAUGGAGCUGAUAGGUUCAUCUCCUGAGAGAAAUUGGGUCUGGUUCUUAUAAUGGACAGCAGAGCCACAGCAAUAAUCAGGGUUGACCUGUGGAGGUUUGUAACAGUGGAUAAUUAAGCAGUUUCCCUAGGACCAAAAUAGAUGGACAGCCUAACAAAGUCCUAGUUGUUACAUAACCCCAAUAAUCUUCUACUCUGGAAAAUGGAGGCCUGAUCUUAUCCUAAAAAAAUGUGGCAUUCCAGCCUCUUCCCCAGCUCAUAGACCAGAGCCCCUUGAAUGAAGAGGAGGGUCCAUUCAAAGAAGGGACCUUGCUACGUUUUUUGCACACGUGUAUGGUGAAAUCUCCCUCCUUGCUUUCCUCACAGAGACCUGCAGCAAGUCAUUGUACACUGGGGACAGGGAAAUAUUCAGGCCUUUUGAAAUAUGCUGGAUAUUGGUUCAGAAUUAAUGUUAAUCUCUGGUGAACCAGAUUGCCACUGUGGCCCAUCAGUCAGAGUGGGAUGGCGUUAUACAUGAAGUUUUGAUCUGAGUCUUUCUUACACUGGGCUCAGGAGAAAUCCCGUGGUGAUUUCUCCAGUUCUGGAUAUACUAUUGGAAUCUACACAGUAUAGAUGGCAUAAAGGGGAGGAGUACUACAGCUGAAGAGCAAGUUAAAGACUCAAGAAAUGGGGGAUAAAAUUGGAGGUAGAAAUAUUGCGAUAACAGAAGUUCCAGAAGCAGAGAAAGAUAAAAACGGAAAAGCGCAUCUACAUUGCGAAUGAAUGCCUGAGCACAGGACUCCAAGUGACCUGGGGAAGCUGAGCUCCCCAUUGAGAGCUGUGUGUUAACAGUACCAUCGAGCCAUGAAGUUAUCUACGUGCAGUAGCACUCCACCACCAAAUAGAAUCGAGUUAUACAAACAGGCCUAGGAGAUGAAUAAGCUGCCUGAGCAGGCGAAUCAUACUCCCAUCUGCUGUACUGCCAUCCCUCUUUUGCCCACAUCUGAGGCCUCAUGGGGAAUUCCCUGUGACUAAGUGACUAAGGGAUAUCCAGCUUGGUUUACACAUGACCCUGCAUGAUAUGCUGGCCCUGCUGGAAGUAAACUGUAGUGUUACAGCCCCACUUAGGGUUGAUCCCGAAGGACAGUGAGAAGGGAAAUUCUCACAGUAGGACAACUGCUGGGUCACAUAGCUGGUCAGAGGUAUAGAUAGGUUUCCACUGUUUCAUGAGUAGUUGUUAAUGAUUCAGCUAAAUGAUGAAGAACUUGGAAUUAACAGGACUGAAAUAUUAUUGAUGAAGUCUGAGGAAGAGCAUAUGGAUGUCCCUCUUGGAAUAGGCAGAGAUAUUCAUGUCCCACAUAAAUGAGCACCAGAGAGUCCACUGCAGAAGAGGACCUCAAUCAAGUAGAUAGGUAGGUGUCCUAUUCUGUGCUGUCAGUCAGUCUCCGUCUCUCACCCUUUUCUUUGCCCAAUGGAUUCCUGAACAAAAUGGCCAUGGUGGCAGGCAUGAAGGUUAUGCAUGGGCUUGGACUUCCAUCAAGACCAAUCUGGCUAUAAGCCACUGCUGAAUGCCCAACUUGCCAACAGAAGAGAAACCCAAGCCCCUCUAUGGAACUAUUCCUUGGUGGCAGCUGAUUACAGACAGGACAAAAUGAAAAAAAGCCACUGGACCCCCAAAAUUCUGGCAGGAAGCAGACUGGGGCAACUGUUCAGCUGCAAACAUGUGCUGUCUUUCUUGAAAAAGGAAGGCACAGAGGGUAGAACCAAAAGGUCAGAGGGCAGAGCCUUAGAAUACUAUUCCCAGGCCUUGAAAUCUAAUCAGGAAACUUCCAUUUUCCCAGCUGGAUUUCAGAAUUAUUAUAGACCAGUGAUUCCUUUAUGUCUCCCAUUUCCCCUCUUUAUGAACCAGAAUAUCUGUAGUAGUUGUCCUAUGGCUAUUCCACCAUUGUAUGUUGGGUGUGUUGGGAAGAGAUAACUUGCCUCUUAAGUCUCACAAAUCGACUGAGCAUGGUGGCUCAUACCUGUAAUCCCAGCACUUUGGGAGGCCAAGGUGGAAGGAUUGUUUGAGCCCAGGCUGGGCAAUAUAGUAAGAACUUGAUCCUGAAGGACAGUGAGAAGGGAAAUUCUUGUCUCCAAACAAAGAACUUGUCUCCAUAACAAAAUAAAAACAAUUUUCUUACAAAAUAUACUUGUCUCACAAAUCUAAAGAUGGAGAAAAAAGCAGUUAAGAAGCCACAUCCAAAGAGUCUCUUUCAUAUAUGGACCUGAUUUAGAUGAUAUUCUGGAUUUCAGCGCAAUGCUAUAAUUGGAUGAGACUUUUAGAGACUUUGGCAAGGAGGUGAAUGUAUUUUGCAUGUGUAAGUAACAUGAAUCACCAGGACCAGUGGAAAAACUACAGUAGCCAAUCUCCAAUGACACACCCCCCCCACACACACACACCACCUCCUGGUAUUCACACCUUUGUAUAAUCCCCUCCCCUUGAGUGUGGCCUGGACCUAGUAACUGACUUACUUCUAACAAAUAGAAUAUUGCAAAAAGUGAUGGGAUGUCACAUCUGAGAUUAGGUCAUAAAGACUAAGAGUUCUGUCUGGCAUGUGGGCACUCUCCUUCUGUCUCUAGCUCAUCUUGAUUGCUCUGCUGAAGCAAGCCACCAUGUUGUGAGCCACCCUAUGAAAAGGUACACAUGGCAAGGAACCUGAGAGCGGCCCCCAGCCAACAGCCAGCAAGAAACUGAAUCCUGCCAACAGCCACAUCUUCUGGGAAGCACGGUUAAUGUCUGCCCUUUCAAGGACCCACUGACCAUAUACCUCAGACCCCAGGUGCCAAUCCCAAGGGGUGGAAUCCUGUACCACCAGACUCUGCAAUGCAAAGGAAAGAGUUCAUAUGCACAGUGUGGGGCUCCAACUGAUUCUCCUCUUUCUAAAACUAGACUGCAGGCCCUUGGCCUGGAAGUGGAGACAGACUGAGGCCUGUGCCUUGCCUUCCCUCCAGAAGCUCUAGAGCUUGGGGGUGGGAGGAGAGACAGACCUAUUAGAGUAUUUCAAACACCAUGUAAGGCACAGGUGGAGGCACUAGGGAGAAGGUGCAGAAGGGGUCAGUUGGGCCUGAAGGAAGGGUUUGGGUAACAUCCUUAAUGGAAGUGAUGUCUCUUCCCAUCCCCUUGUCACCUGCAGAUUCAGGAGCCAUUUGAGGGAUGUGGCAACAUUUGGGAGGACUCAGCAGCUAGGUGAUGUUCUGUAUAAUAGAAAAUUACUUUGAGGUGAGAAGAUACCCACUGCUUCCCUGACCUUUCUCCCCAUCCCCUUAUCUGAGGGGGAAGGGGGUCCCCUGAGCCAGUCCCCCUCCCUUUCUAGGGGAACGUCUGGGAAAGAGGGCAGAUCUGGAACCAGAGAAAGCUCUCUGGAAGAGGUUAGAUUUGAUCUAGGUCUUGCAGGAUGGUGGCCAGGGACCCUCCUGCAGACUUCAUAGGAUGUACGUCUGCUGUGAAGGAAUGUGUGAGGGAUGGGACAGGGACAUGCCAAGAUGGGAAAGGCUGUCUGAAAACCGGUAAGGGAUGGGCCCAUACCUGGGAGGACCCCUGUCCUGGGCCAAGCAGUUCUCUAACCUGGGAGUUGCUUCAGGUUGUAGGCACCAUCUCUUCCUCUCCUGUCUGGCCACUUCUUCCUGUGGCUGACUGCCUUGGGAGUGGUAGUUAAGUGCUGAGAUUGAGCCCCUUCCUGACCAUUCCAGGUGUCACCUCUCCUGUCAGCUCCUCCAACCCUCUUUUUAUGAUCAAUUCCAGAGAGGUGGGCAGCCAAAAGGUCAGCCUCUUCCCCUGGACUGAGACCUGGGGUCAAACUGGACCCAACAGGGUUGUCCAGGGGCUCCUGUCUCUCCUCACUUGUAUAGCCCAGGGUCCCAACUGGAAGACCAGAUGAAGCAGGGCUGAGCCAGACCCUGCCACCAAUCAAAGCUGCUGCUAGAAGAGGGUGGGCUUUCUUAUUUACCAUUAGGUUCCUGUCAACUACAAAUAUGGAAAAGAGGAAUGAAACUCAUGAAAGUUCAGAUGAGAAAGCAAAAUAAGGGUGGCAGUGUGCUAAGCUCCUGGGCUAGAGAUCAGGACCCAGUCUUUAGCCUUCAGCCUCCUCACAGCCCCUUGAGAGGAGGGAAAGCCCUUGAGGCAGGAAUGAUGGGAAGCUGACUGAUUUAGUAGGGGUUCCAUGCUCUUGCUUCCUCCUUUGUAUCCUCAUAUCAUGGGCAGACUCCAAACACAGAACACUCAAGACCACAAAGAAUGGUUCUUAGCCUUUGGAGGGUCAAGGAUCCCUUUAUGAAUCUGAUACAAGCUGGUUAGUCUUCUUGUCAGAAAAACACAUGCAUGCAAACACCCACAAAAACAUGUAAACAAUCUGUUAACAGUCCCUGAUUUAGUCCAGCACCCUUAUCUUAAAGACUUUGGGACCCAGAAGGGAGAUCUUUCCAACUACUAUGGGAUCAUUCAUGGGCUUGAAACUACUAUGCUAAGUGAAAGAAGCCAGACACAAAGGAUCACAUAUUAUACUAUUCCAUUUAUGUAAAAUGUCCAGAAUAGGCAAAUGGGAUGAGGGGUAAAGGAUGACUAAGGGAUAUGGAGUUCCUUUUUGCAAUGAUGAAAAUGUUCUAAAAAUUUUUUUGCAAUGAUUGCUGCACAACUCUAAAUAUACUAAAAGCUAUUUAAUUGUACACUUUUAAGUGGGUGAACUGUAUGGUAUGUACAUUACAUCUCAAUAAGCUGUCUUAAAAAAGUGAACUCAGGGGUUUCAAAUGACCACACAUCUGAGCUUUAGUCCCCAUUCAUCAGGGGCAUAAAGAACCUGUGGAGAAAAAUCAGGGAAUUAUGCAGUAUACGGGUUAGACAAGAAAAUAUUCUAGAAAGAACGAGAUUCUAUGUAUAAUCUUAAGGGCAAUAAAGCAUCAUGGAAGGUUUUAGGCAGUAUAUAAUCAGAUCUACACUUUAGAAAUCCAAAUCACUUAACUGUACAUUUCAAACAAGUGAAUUUUAUGGUAUGUAAAUUAUAUCUCAAUAAAGCCAUUUAAAAAAAAAUCCCUUUGGGAGCUUGAGGAGGAUAAACUGGAGGGCAUCAACUGGGGGAGGCUGUGGUGUACGAGUCAGGAUGAGGGGGCCAGAGCCCAUCUGUUUGGACUUGAGGGAAAGCGGCUUGGGGGUAGAGUUGGGGAAGGAUCAGAAAUGUCUUGCCCAAGGUUAAGAAGCUGGUGGAACUUGAUUUCAGAACCCAGAGCUUCCUGGCUUUAGCCCGAGCACUCCUGCUAGCACUAUAGCUGCUCCACUGACUGGUGAGGGAAGCACUGUCCUCCCUAUCUAAGAGAAAUGCACUUCAGAAACAUGUUUCCAAAAAAUGUUUCUAAGGGUUUUAUUUCUAACAAGAGGAAAAUAAUAAAAUAAAAUUAAAAUAGGCUUCAGUUGGAA